AUUGAACGCUGGCGGCAUGCCUUACACAUGCAAGUCGAACGGCAGCACGGGAGCAAUCCUGGUGGCGAGUGGCGAACGGGUGAGUAAAGUAUCGGAACGUGCCCAGUCGUGGGGGAUAACGUAGCGAAAGUUACGCUAAUACCGCAUACGAUCUAUGGAUGAAAGCGGGGGAUCGCAAGACCUCGCGCGAUUGGAGCGGCCGAUAUCAGAUUAGGUAGUUGGUGGGGUAAAGGCUCACCAAGCCGACGAUCUGUAGCUGGUCUGAGAGGACGACCAGCCACACUGGGACUGCGACACGGCCCAGACUCCUACGGGAGGCAGCAGUGGGGAAUUUUGGACAAUGGGCGCAAGCCUGAUCCAGCCAUGCCGCGUGCAGGAUGAAGGCCUUCGGGUUGUAAACUGCUUUUGUACGGAACGAAAAGGUUUGGCCUAAUACGCUGAACUCAUGACGGUACCGUAAGAAUAAGCACCGGCUAACUACGUGCCAGCCGCCGCAGUAA
rnacentral:rRNA from 1 species